AUCCAGCUGAUGAGUCCCAAAUAGGACGAAACGCGUGUCCUAAAU
rfam:Schistosoma haematobium scaffold2269_6, whole genome shotgun sequence.